rnacentral:rRNA from 1 species
UACGUAGGGGGCAAGCGUUGUCCGGAUUUAUUGGGCGUAAAGAGCGUGUAGGCGGCUAGGUAGGUCCGUUGUGAAAACUCGAGGCUCAACCUCGAGACGCCGAUGGAAACCAUCUGGCUAGAGUCCGGAAGAGGAGAGUGGAAUUCCUGGUGUAGCGGUGAAAUGCGCAGAUAUCAGGAAGAACACCCGUGGCUAAGGCGGCUCUCUAGUACGGUACUGACGCUGAGGAGCGAAAGCGUGGGGAGCGAACAGG